GUAAGUAUUCCAGUAAGGGAGGAGCUAUAUGGAACAGAAAAUAGAUGAUAGUCUUCUAGCACCAAAGGCAAAAUGGACACAAUGCUCACCAUGAUUGUAAAAGAGAGAGCAAAGACAUGGGCCUUAAGGAUGACCAACAUUUCAGGAGUGUGACAGCUGGGGAGUGCAACCAGGCAAACAAAACUGUUUUCCCCUUUGGGUUACCAGCUAGAAGAAGAGAAUAGGGACAUGAAGGUCAUUGGUUUAGAGAAGAUUUUGUGAAGAAGAGUUUGAGAGGUAGAAUUGAAGAGAAGACACUAUGUGAAGAUAGAAAAGGAG